GGCACACAGACAGACAGACAGACAGAGGGAGUCCUGGAUGAAUGGCAAACCCUUCAGAUUCUAAUUUGUUUCUCAAUCAGUUGCUUCCUCGUGUGAAAUGAGGGGACAGACAGCUGAUCUUUCUGAGCUGCCCAUGGCUGGGACCACUGCCUCCAUUCCCAACACCCUGCUGGGGACCCCGCCUUCCAAAGAACAUGCCCCAGGCACACAGGUGAGCUCCCGCCAUGCACUCCCCGUGAAAGGGAAGCCGUCUGGAGGCAGUGUGGCACCUGAAGACGCUGGAGCUGCUGCUGUCAGGGACACACGCCCUGCCCAUUCAUCUGCCUUCUGCGCCGGGAGCCCCCGCAGAUGCGGAAGAUGCAGGGAAUGAUUCAGCCCCAGCCUUAGUCAGAUCAUUCCAGAUUUCCUGGUCUCCUUCCCUCCUGAAGAACCACUGGAGGAACGAGGACUCCCAG
rnacentral:lncRNA from 1 species